UACGUAGGGUGCAAGCGUUGUCCGGAAUUAUUGGGCCUAAAGCAUCCGUAGCCGGUUCUACAAGUCUUCCGUUAAAUCCACCUGCUCAACAGAUGGGCUGCGGAAGAUACUAUGGAGCUAGGAGGCGGGAGAGGCAAGCGGUACUCGAUGGGUAGGGGUAAAAUCCGUUGAUCCAUUGAAGACCACCAGUGGCGAAGGCGGCUUGCCAGAACGCGCUCGACGGUGAGGGAUGAAAGCUGGGGGAGCAAACCGG
rnacentral:rRNA from 1 species